AAAAAUCAAACUCAAUAUUUUCUGUUAUGUGUACGGUUAAUGUCAUCCAACUUUCAACAAAAUAACUCAAGCACCUUUGUAUAAAUGGCUUUCAUAAAUCAAAAUUUACCAAUUUUAAAAUACGCAGACGUUCAUCCUGAGAUACGGGUAAGAAGGGAAAAAAUAGUAAUUCGAGUCCGACAAAAAAAAUCUCUCCCGCAGACUUUCAUCCCGAGAUACCAGUAGGUAGGGAAAAAAUAGUAAUUCGAGUCCAACAAAAAAAAC
rnacentral:lncRNA from 1 species